rnacentral:rRNA from 1 species
AGAGUUUGAUCCUGGCUCAGGACGAACGCUGGCGGCGCGCUUAACACAUGCAAGUCGAGCGAGAACCGGACUUCGGUUCCCGGGGACAGCGGCGAACGGGUGAGUAACACGUGGGUAAUCCACCCUCGGCACCGGGAUAGCCCGGGGAAACCCGGAUUAAUACCGGAUAGCCCCUCCGACUCUCGAGUCGGUCGGAAAAGGUAGCUUCGGCCUCUGGCCGAGGAUGAGCCCGCGGCGGAUUAGCUUGUUGGUGGGGUAACGGCCCACCAAGGCGACGAUCCGUAGCUGGUCUGAGAGGACGAUCAGCCACACUGGGACUGAGACACGGCCCAGACUCCUACGGGAGGCAGCAGUGGGGAAUCUUGCGCAAUGGGCGAAAGCCUGACGCAGCGACGCCGCGUGAGGGAAGAAGGCCUUCGGGUUGUAAACCUCUUUUAAGAGAGAAGAAGCCACUCGGGUUAAUAGCCCAGAGGGGACGUAUCUCUAAUA